AGAGUUUGAUCCUGGCUCAGAUUGAACGCUGGCGGCAGGCCUAACACAUGCAAGUCGAGCGGAAACGAGUUAUCUGAACCUUCGGGGAACGAUAACGGCGUCGAGCGGCGGACGGGUGAGUAAUGCCUAGGAAAUUGCCCUGAUGUGGGGGAUAACCAUUGGAAACGAUGGCUAAUACCGCAUAAUGCCUACGGGCCAAAGAGGGGGACCUUCGGGCCUCUCGCGUCAGGAUAUGCCUAGGUGGGAUUAGCUAGUUGGUGAGGUAAUGGCUCACCAAGGCGACGAUCCCUAGCUGGUCUGAGAGGAUGAUCAGCCACACUGGAACUGAGACACGGUCCAGACUCCUACGGGAGGCAGCAGUGGGGAAUAUUGCACAAUGGGCGCAAGCCUGAUGCAGCCAUGCCGCGUGUGUGAAGAAGGCCUUCGGGUUGUAAAGCACUUUCAGUCGUGAGGAAGGUAGUGUAGUUAAUAGCUGCAUUAUUUGACGUUAGCGACAGAAGAAGCACCGGCUAACUCCGUGCCAGCAGCCGCGGUAAUAC
rnacentral:rRNA from 1 species